rnacentral:rRNA from 1 species
GCAUAUCAAUAAGCGGAGGAAAAGAAACCAACAGGGAUUGCCCCAGUAACGGCGAGUGAAGCGGCAACAGCUCAAAUUUGAAAUCUGGUCCCCUCUGGGGGCCCGAGUUGUAAUUUGAAGAGGAUGCUUCUGGCGAGGUGCCGUCCGAGUUCCCUGGAACGGGACGCCGCAGAGGGUGAGAGCCCCGUACGGUCGGACACCGAGCCUCUGUGAAGCUCCUUCGACGAGUCGAGUAGUUUGGGAAUGCUGCUCAAAAUGGGAGGUAAACCCCUUCUAAAGCUAAAUACCGGCCAGAGACCGAUAGCGCACAAGUAGAGUGAUCGAAAGAUGAAAAGCACUUUGAAAAGAGAGUUAAAAAGCACGUGAAAUUGUUGAAAGGGAAGCGCUUGCGACCAGACUUGCGCCCGUCGGAUCAGCCGUCCCUCGCGGGCGGCGCACUCCGGCGGGCUCAGGCCAGCAUCGGUUCGCCUCGGGGGGAGAAAGGCGGCGGGAACGUGGCUCUACGGAGUGUUAUAGCCCGCCGUGCAAUACCCCCGGGUGGACCGAGGACCGCGCGUAUGCAAGGAUGCUGGCGUAAUGGUCGUCAGCGACCCGUCUUGAAACACGGACCAAGGAGUCGUCCUAAUAUGCGAGUGUAAGGGUGUCAAACCCCUGCGCGGAAUGAAAGUGAACGGAGGUGAGAGCUUCGGCGCAUCAUCGACCGAUCCUGAUGUUCUCGGAUGGAUUUGAGUAAGAGCAUAUUGGGCCGGACCCGAAAGAAGGUGAACUAUGCCUGUGUAGGGUAAAGCCAGAGGAAACUCUGGUGGAGGCUCGCAGCGGUUCUGACGUGCAAAUCGAUCGUCAAACAUGGGCAUGGGGGCGAAAGACUAAUCGAACCUUCUAGUAGCUGGUUUCAGCCGA